UACGGAGGGUGCAAGCGUUGUCCGGAAUCAUUGGGCGUAAAGAGUUCGUAGGCGGCAUGUCAAGUCUGGUGUUAAAUCCCGAAGCUCAACUUCGGUCCGGCAUCGGAUACUGGCAAGCUUGAAUGCAGUAGAGGUAAAGGGAAUUCCUGGUGUAGCGGUGAAAUGCGUAGAUAUCAGGAGGAACAUCGGUGGCGAAGGCGCUUUACUGGGCUGUGAUUGACGCUGAGGAACGAAAGCCGGGGUAGCAAAUGGG
rnacentral:rRNA from 1 species